CGAUGAAGUUUCUUCGGAAAUGGAUUAGCGGCGAACGGGUGAGGAACACGUGAAUAACCUGCCCUCAAUUUCGGAAUAACCCAGGGAAACCUGGGCUAAUACCGGAUACGUAAACCUGUGGCAUCACGUGGUUUUGGAAAGUUUUUCGAUUGAGGAUGGAUUCGCGGCCUAUCAGCUUGUUGGUGAGGUAAUGGCUCACCAAGGCGACGACGGGUAGCCGGCCUGAGAGGGUGAACGGCCACACUGGGACUGAGACACGGCCCAGACUCC
rnacentral:rRNA from 1 species